GUGGGGAAUAUUGGACAAUGGGGGGAACCCUGAUCCAGCCAUGCCGCGUGUGUGAAGAAGGCCUUUUGGUUGUAAAGCACUUUAAGCGAGGAGGAGGCUACCGAGAUUAAUACUCUUGGAUAGUGGACGUUACUCGCAGAAUAAGCACCGGCUAACUCUGUGCCAGCAGCCGCGGUAAUACAGAGGGUGCAAGCGUUAAUCGGAUUUACUGGGCGUAAAGCGCGCGUAGGUGGCCAAUUAAGUCAAAUGUGAAAUCCCCGAGCUUAACUUGGGAAUUGCAUUCGAUACUGGUUGGCUAGAGUAUGGGAGAGGAUGGUAGAAUUCCAGGUGUAGCGGUGAAAUGCGUAGAGAUCUGGGGGAAUACCGAUGGCGAAGGCAGCCAUCUGGCCUAAUACUGACACUGAGGUGCGAAAGCAUGGGGAGCAAACAGGAUUAGAUACCCUGGUAGUCC
rnacentral:rRNA from 1 species